rnacentral:rRNA from 1 species
AUGUCGAUUCGCCGCCUGGGCGCUUCGGAUUUUCGCGGAGUCCGCGAGCGCCGCUCCGGCGCAUUCCCCUCCGAGAUCUGUUUUGGCGAGAAACGCCUCAUCCUUGGCACCUUCGACACCGCAGAGGAGGCGGCCUGCGCGCACGACGCGGCAGCCUGGCGCCUCUUGAGGCCUCGUGGGGAGAUGAAUUUUCCCGACGUGUCGAGCCAGCGGGCGCAGGAUCUAGCGCCUCUCCCGCGGCUUUUCACCGACGAGGUCGUCGUGUCCACCGGAGGCGGCAGCGUCACCUCGCCAUCGCCGAGAUGGACGUGGAAGCCAUGGUGGUGUGGCGCGAACGCUUCCCGCAGGACAUCGUCGACGAGCGUCAGUUCUACAAGCAAAGGAGGACGGAGAGGGAGGCAAGGAGGACGGAGCGAGCCGCCUAUCGGGAGGACAAGCGUGCGCGGAAGCAGGCCGCUCAAUUGA